rnacentral:pre_miRNA from 1 species
CCUAGAUGAGGAUGAUGAUGGUGAUGGUGAUGAUGAUGGUGGUGGUGAUGAACAUUAACAACAUCAUCGUCAUCAUCAUUAUCAUCAUCAUCUAGG